UCUUUUGAUUUAAUUUAAGAUCAGGCCUGCCCAUUGAUUUAAUAAUUAAAAGGCUGCGGUAUUUUAACUGUACGAAGGUAGCAUAAUCAUUUGUCUUUUAAUUGAAGGCUAGAAUGAAUGGUUUGAUGAAAAAUAAUCUUUCUUUUUAUGAAUCAAUUGAAUUUAAUUUUUUAGUUAAAAAGCUAAAAUUUUUUUAUAGGACGAGAAGACCCUAUAGAAGUUAACUUAGUUUAAAAUUUUUUAUUUUUUGUUUUUAAAAUAAAUUUUUUGAUUAUUAAGUUUUGUUGGGGUGACAUUAAAAUUUAUUUAACUUUUAUUUUAUUAUUUCAUUAAUUUAUGUAUAUUUUGAUCUUUAAUUUUUGAUUAAAAGUUUAACUUACCUUAGGGAUAACAGCGUAAUUUUUUCGGAGAGAUCCUAUC
rnacentral:rRNA from 1 species